AGAGUUUGAUCCUGACUCAGGAUGAACGCUGGCGGCGUGCCUAAUACAUGCAAGUCGAGCGAACGGACGAGAAGCUUGCUUCUCUGAUGUUAGCGGCGGACGGGUGAGUAACACGUGGAUAACCUACCUAUAAGACUGGGAUAACUUCGGGAAACCGGAGCUAAUACCGGAUAAUAUUUUGAACCGCAUGGUUCAAAAGUGAAAGACGGUCUUGCUGUCACUUAUAGAUGGAUCCGCGCUGCAUUAGCUAGUUGGUAAGGUAACGGCUUACCAAGGCAACGAUGCAUAGCCGACCUGAGAGGGUGAUCGGCCACACUGGAACUGAGACACGGUCCAGACUCCUACGGGAGGCAGCAGUAGGGAAUCUUCCGCAAUGGGCGAAAGCCUGACGGAGCAACGCCGCGUGAGUGAUGAAGGUCUUCGGAUCGUAAAACUCUGUUAUUAGGGAAGAACAUAUGUGUAAGUAACUGUGCACAUCUUGACGGUACCUAAUCAGAAAGCCACGGCUAACUACGUGCCAGCAGCCGCGGUAAUACGUAGGUGGCAAGCGUUAUCCGGAAUUAUUGGGCGUAAAGCGCGCGUAGGCGGUUUUUUAAGUCUGAUGUGAAAGCCCACGGCUCAACCGUGGAGGGUCAUUGGAAACUGGAAAACUUGAGUGCAGAAGAGGAAAGUGGAAUUCCAUGUGUAGCGGUGAAAUGCGCAGAGAUAUGGAGGAACACCAGUGGCGAAGGCGACUUUCUGGUCUGUAACUGACGCUGAUGUGCGAAAGCGUGGGGAUCAAACAGGAUUAGAUACCCUGGUAGUCCACGCCGUAAACGAUGAGUGCUAAGUGUUAGGGGGUUUCCGCCCCUUAGUGCUGCAGCUAACGCAUUAAGCACUCCGCCUGGGGAGUACGACCGCAAGGUUGAAACUCAAAGGAAUUGACGGGGACCCGCACAAGCGGUGGAGCAUGUGGUUUAAUUCGAAGCAACGCGAAGAACCUUACCAAAUCUUGACAUCCUUUGACAACUCUAGAGAUAGAGCCUUCCCCUUCGGGGGACAAAGUGACAGGUGGUGCAUGGUUGUCGUCAGCUCGUGUCGUGAGAUGUUGGGUUAAGUCCCGCAACGAGCGCAACCCUUAAGCUUAGUUGCCAUCAUUAAGUUGGGCACUCUAAGUUGACUGCCGGUGACAAACCGGAGGAAGGUGGGGAUGACGUCAAAUCAUCAUGCCCCUUAUGAUUUGGGCUACACACGUGCUACAAUGGACAAUACAAAGGGCAGCGAAACCGCGAGGUCAAGCAAAUCCCAUAAAGUUGUUCUCAGUUCGGAUUGUAGUCUGCAACUCGACUACAUGAAGCUGGAAUCGCUAGUAAUCGUAGAUCAGCAUGCUACGGUGAAUACGUUCCCGGGUCUUGUACACACCGCCCGUCACACCACGAGAGUUUGUAACACCCGAAGCCGGUGGAGUAACCUUUUAGGAGCUAGCCGUCGAAGGUGGGACAAAUGAUUGGGGUGAAGUCGUAACAAGGUAGCCGUAUCGGAAGGUGCGGCUGGAUCACCU
rnacentral:rRNA from 2 species